AUGAACGCUGGCGGCGUGCCUUAAGCAUGCAAGUCGAUCGGUCCCGCGCAAGCGGGACAGAGGCGGACGGGUGAGUAUAAGUACGGAACGUACCCUGAAGUAUCGCAUAGCUCGUCGAAAGACGGGGUAAUUCGGUAUGUGAUCGCAAGAUUAAAGAGGUUAACUCCUCGCUUUAGGAGCGGCCGUAUGUCUAUCAGCUAGUUGGUGGGGUAACGGCCUACCAAGGCUACGACGGAUAGGGGGUGUGAGAGCACGACCCCCCACAAUGGCACUGAGACACGGGCCAUACAUCUACGGAUGGCAGCAACUGGGAAUAUUCGGCAAUGGACGAAAGUCUGACCGAGCGACGCCGCGUGAGGGAUGAAGGUUUUCGGAUCGUAAACCUCUUUUGACCCGCCAUCGAGGCGGGUAGAAUAAGCACCUACAAACUACGU
rnacentral:rRNA from 1 species